rnacentral:rRNA from 1 species
CCUACGGGAGGCAGCAGUGAGGAAUAUUGGUCAAUGGGCGCGAGCCUGAACCAGCCAAGUAGCGUGAAGGAUGACUGCCCUACGGGUUGUAAACUUCUUUUAUAAAGGAAUAAAGUGAGGCACGUGUGCCUUUUUGUAUGUACUUUAUGAAUAAGGAUCGGCUAACUCCGUGCCAGCAGCCGCGGUAAUCCGGAGGAUCCGAGCGUUAUCCGGAUUUAUUGGGUUUAAAGGGAGCGUAGUUGGGUUGUUAAGUCAGUUGUGAAAGUUUGCGGCUCAACCGUAAAAUUGCAAUUGAUACUGUGAGGCUAGAGUACAGUUGAGGCAGGCGGAAGUCGUGGUGUAGCGGUGAAAUGCUUAGAUAUUACGAAGAACACCAGUUGCGAAGGCAGCCUACUAAACUGCCACUGACGUUGAUGCUCGAAAGUGUGGGGAUCAAACAGGAUUAGAUACCCGAGUAGUC